CGGGCUGUGGCUCAGUGGUAGAGCACUUGCCUAGCAUGUGCGAGACCCUGGGUUCGAACCUCAGCACCACAU
rfam:Ictidomys tridecemlineatus contig052891, whole genome shotgun sequence.